rnacentral:rRNA from 1 species
AUACGGAGGAUGCGAGCGUUAUCCGGAUUUAUUGGGUUUAAAGGGAGCGUAGGUGGGAUAUUAAGUCAGCUGUGAAAGUUUGGGGCUCAACCUUAAAAUUGCAGUUGAUACUGGUUUCCUUGAGUACGGUAUAGGUGGGCGGAGUUCGUGGUGUAGCGGUGAAAUGCUUAGAUAUCACGAAGAACUCCGAUCGCGAAGGCAGCUCACCGGGCCGGAACUGACACUGAUGCUCGAAAGUGCGGGUAUCAAACAGGAUUAGAUACCCUGGUAGUCCGCACAGUAAACGAUGAAUACUCGCUGUUUGCGAUACACUGUAAGCGGCCAAGCGAAAGCGUUAAGUAUUCCACCUGGGGAGUACGCCGGCAACGGUGAAACUCAAAGGAAUUGACGGGG